UGAGCUUGAUCCUGGCUCAUGGCAAGCGUUGUCCGGCCUGAGCUUGAUCCUGGCUCAGGACGAACGCUGGCGGCGUGCUUAACACAUGCAAGUCGAGCGGUAAGGCCCUUCGGGGUACACGAGCGGCGAACGGGUGAGUAACACGUGAGCAACCUGCCCCUGACUCCGGGAUAAGCGGUGGAAACGCCGUCUAAUACCGGAUAUGACCUGCCACCUCAUGGUGGCGGGUGGAAAGUUUUAUCGGUCAGGGAUGGGCUCGCGGCCUAUCAGCUUGUUGGUGGGGUAACGGCCUACCAAGGCGAUUACGGGUAGCCGGCCUGAGAGGGCGACCGGCCACACUGGGACUGAGACACGGCCCAGACUCCUGCGGGAGGCAGCAGUGGGGAAUAUUGCACAAUGGGCGAAAGCCUGAUGCAGCGACGCCGCGUGGGGGAUGACGGCCUUCGGGUUGUAAACCUCUUUUACCACCAACGCAGGCUCCGGGUUCUCUCGGGGUUGACGGUAGGUGGGGAAUAAGG
rnacentral:rRNA from 1 species